UAUACAUGAGCAAAAUCUCAACUUUAUUAGAAGAGACGCAUUUAUUAGAUAAAAAGCCAGUUCAUGCUUUUACAGUAUGAAAAUUGGUGAUUUAUAAUAACUUAGCAAAUCGCAAAGUGAAAACAGGCGAUAAAUCAUUCAAGUUUCUGACCUAUCAGCUUUCGACGGUAUGGUAUUGGCUUACCGUGGCAGUGACGGUUAACGGGGGAUUAGGGUUCGAUUCCGGAGAGGGAGCCUGAGAAACGGCUACCACAUCUAAGGAAGGCAGCAGGCGCGCAAAUUACCCAAUUCUAACAGUUUGAGAGAGGUAGUAACAAGAAAUAACAAUACAAGGCAGUUAAAAUGCUUUGUAAUUGGAAUGAUAGAAAUUUAAACCCUUUUUAAAGUAUCAAUUGGAGGGCAAGUCUGGUGCCAGCAGCCGCGGUAAUUCCAGCUCCAAUAGCGUAUAUUAAAAUUGUUGCAGUUAAAAAGCUCGUAGUUGAAGUUCUGCUGAAAGUAACCGGUCUGCUUUUAAUAAAAGUGGUAUCUUGGUAUGUAUUUAGCAAUGAUGUCCUUUGAAGUGUUUUUUACUUUAUUGUAAUAAAGCAUAUUCAGGACUUUUACUUUGAGAAAAUUAGAGUGUUUCUAGCAGGCUAACGCUUUGAAUACUGCAGCAUGGAAUAAUAAGA
rnacentral:rRNA from 1 species